AGAGUUUGAUCCUGGCUCAGGACGAACGCUGGCGGCGUGCUUAACACAUGCAAGUCGAACGGUCCGAGGAAUUCGGGGUUGGGAGUUCGAGGCAAAGCUUCGAAUUUCGAACCCCGGAAUCCAAGGAUAGUGGCGGACGGGUGAGUAACGCGUGGAUAACCUGCCCAUGGGGCCGGGAUAACGCCGGGAAACUGGUGCUAAUACCGGAUACAUUUCCACUACCGCAUGGUAGAGGGAAGAAAGGAGCAAUCCGCCCAUGGAUGGAUCCGCGUCCCAUUAGCUUGUUGGUGGGGUAACGGCCUACCAAGGCGACGAUGGGUAGCCGGCCUGAGAGGGUGGCCGGCCACACUGGGACUGAGACACGGCCCAGACUCCUACGGGAGGCAGCAGUGGGGAAUCUUCCGCAAUGGGCGAAAGCCUGACGGAGCAACGCCGCGUGA
rnacentral:rRNA from 1 species